UACAGAGGUCUCAAGCGUUGUUCGGAUUCAUUGGGCGUAAAGGGUGCGUAGGCGGCGCGGUAAGUCGGGUGUGAAAUCUCGGAGCUUAACUCCGAAACUGCAUUCGAUACUGCCGUGCUUGAGGACUGGAGAGGAGACUGGAAUUUACGGUGUAGCGGUGAAAUUCGUAGAUAUCGGGAGGAACACCGGUGGCGAAGGCGGCGACCUGGGUAGAUACUGACGCUGGAGGCGCGAAAGCGUGGGGAGCAAACAGG
rnacentral:rRNA from 1 species